CGCAAGUGCUAUGGGAACGCAACAAUUGGCGCAUUUAACCUUUAACACUCGCCCACGUUGUGUGUUCGGGCGUCUAUUUUUUAAUUGAUAUUGUCUUAAUUUUUUUAAUUUGUUUGUCCAUUGUAAAGUUAAAAAGUGAUAUUUUUUGAAAGGUGUUUUGCUUGUCGCCCCUGUUUACCUUACUAAACGGAACCAAUUAUUCGCAAAAAAAAACACAAAUUUCUUUUCGUUCGACAACAAGAACAACAUUUUGUUAUAUUGUGCUCAUUUUGUAUGGACGUCCUUAAAAAUGUGCGCGACGAACAUAAAUUCGUAUACUAUCGAGAUCGAUGUGGCGUCAUAAAUUGUAAUGUUAAUUAAACGUAAGUUGGCACCUUAACUGCGAAUUUUCACGACAAACGGCAAACGCAAACAACGACAGCAGUCAAUAUAAGACAAUAAUAAGGAGGGAGCACAAGUCAAGUGUAUCACAUGCAUGCAUAUAUGCAAACACACAAUACACCGAGGUAACUGUCUAAGUGAGAAAAACAAAUAACAACAAAAACGUGCGCAUUUAUAAAAGAAAUAAAAGACAACAACAAAAUUUAAUCGAAUAACGUAAAAUCAAGUGAAUCUCGCAGCAGGAUCUGCAGCGCACAGCAGAGCAGCGGAGCCCACGCGAACAAAUGAUCACGUGCACAAUGCUUAUGAGCGCGCGAAAAGGUGAAUAUGUAGAGUGAAGAAGCGACUGAUUGCAGUUAGUGGUGAACUGUGAUGAUAGAAAUAAAAGAAAAUAAAAAAUAAAGAGAAUAAAAAGUCGGAA